rnacentral:rRNA from 1 species
UACGGGGGGGGCAAGCGUUGUUCGGAAUUACUGGGCGUAAAGCGCGUGUAGGCGGCUACGUGUGUCGGGCGUGAAACUCCCAUGGCUCAACCAUGGAAGUGCACCCGAAACUGCGUAGCUAGAGUCCUGGAGAGGAAGGUGGAAUGCUUGGUGUAGAGGUGAAAUUCGUAGAUAUCAAGCGGAACACCGGUGGCGAAGGCGGCCUUCUGGACAGUGACUGACGCUGGAGACGGCGAAAGCGUGGGGAGCAAACAGG